ACUGCCACAAAUCCUUCUGGUUUCCUGUUUUUAGAAAUUAGAAUUAGUCAAAGUGGAAGAGAGGGAAUAAAGAAAGUGUGGGUAAUUUAGAAAUGAUCUGUGUCUUCAACAGGGGAUUGAGGAAAUAUGUCUGCCCUUAUCACGGCAUUAAAAAAAAAAGUACAAAUAUUGAAGUAUACUGCUGGUUAUUAGGAUUUAUUUAUUUAUUCAUUUGAAUAGAGCUCUUGUCUUUGUGCACUUUAUCUAAUAUAUCACAUGAC